GACGAACGCUGGCGGCGCGCUUAACACAUGCAAGUCGAACGGAGCACCCUUGAUUGAGGUUUCGGCCAAAUGAUAGGAAUGCUUAGUGGCGGACUGGUGAGUAACGCGUGAGGAACCUGCCUUUCAGAGGGGGACAGCAGUUGGAAACGACUGCUAAUACCGCAUGACGCAUUUUGAUCGCAUGGUCGAAAUGCCAAAGAUUUAUCGCUGAAAGAUGGCCUCGCGUCUGAUUAGCUAGUUGGUGAGGUAACGGCCCACCAAGGCGACGAUCAGUAGCCGGACUGAGAGGUUGACCGGCCACAUUGGGACUGAGAUACGGCCCAGGCUCCUACGGGAGGCAGCAGUGGGGAAUAUUGGGCAAUGGGCGCAAGCCUGACCCAGCAACGCCGCGUGAAGGAAGAAGGCUUUCGGGUUGUAAACUUCUUUUAAGUGGGAAGAGUAGAAGACGGUACCACUUGAAUAAGCCACGGCUAACUACGUGCCAGCCGCCGCCGUAA
rnacentral:rRNA from 1 species